rnacentral:tRNA from 1 species
GCCUGGGUGGCUUAGUAGGUUAAGCGUCUGACUUCAGCUCAGGUUAUGAUCUCUUGGUUCAUAGGUUCAAGCCCCACAUUGGGCU